rnacentral:rRNA from 1 species
UGGAGACUGGAGAGCUUGAGUGCGGAAGAGGUAAGUGGAAUUCCCAGUGUAGCGGUGAAAUGCGUAGAGAUUGGGAGGAACACCAGUGGCGAAGGCGACUUACUGGGCCGUAACUGACGCUGAGGCGCGAAAGCGUGGGGAGCGAACAGGAUUAGAUACCCUGGUAGUCCACGCUGUAAACGAUGAAUGCUAGGUGUAGGGGGUAUCGACCCCUCCUGUGCCGGAGUAAACACAAUAAGCAUUCCGCCUGGGGAGUACGGCCGCAAGGUUGAAACUCAAAGGAAUUGACGGGGGCCCGCACAAGCAGCGGAGCAUGUUGUUUAAUUCGAUGCAACGCGAAGAACCUUACCAGGUCUUGACAUUGAAGUAAGCCGUAAGAGAUUACGGGAGUCUUCGGACAACUGAAAACAGGUGGUGCAUGGUUGUCGUCAGCUCGUGUCGUGAGAUGUUGGGUUAAGUCCCGCAACGAGCGCAAC